rfam:TPA: Bos taurus chromosome 1, whole genome shotgun sequence.
UCCCUCAUAGCUCAGUUGUUAAAGAAUCUGCCUGCAAUGCAGGAGACCUGGGUUUGAUUCCUGGGUGGGGAA